GCCGCUUUCAAGACUGAGUUCUUUUAAUAAUAUCGAGAAUGAAGACUAUAAAUCAAAUACAGGCAAAGAAUAUUUAAGACAUCCUGAUUCAUAUUUACCUCCGAUGCAUUUUCCAAGUGAAACGGAUGGGGAAAGCUCUAUGAACGAGGGACCGAUUUCAAGGAGAGAAACUUAAAGCCGAAGAACAAUAAUUGAGAAUUCAGAGGAGGCGUACCUAUUUCCAUGCGCUGUCAAAGAAAUGGGCUCCAAUAGCAAUAUUUCAGUUCGU
rnacentral:sRNA from 1 species